rnacentral:lncRNA from 1 species
ACACUUGGGGCACUAGGCACUCAAGCUUCAUGAAGACUUUCUACACCAAAGAGGUAUGUAUUCUAUCUUGCUAUAGUUAUUGUUUUGUAUGCUAGAUUAGGAUAAUACCUUGGAAGUUCUUAUUUGCAUGUAUAAUAGAGAAAACAUAGAUCCAAGGUAUUUAGGGUUGCAUGUACACUUAGGAAGUGUUAGAAUGCUCAAAACCCAACAGUGGUAUCAGAGCCACGGGUUGUUUUCUGUUAUAUUGAUGCAAAUAUUUUAUUUUCAAAGUUGAAAAAAAAAAAAAAAAAAAACAUGAAGUUUGUCAAAUUUUAAGAUAAUUACUUGUUCUUGUGAAAAACUAAUUAUUUGUAAAAUUUGAAUAAUUUGCUUUAUGAGUUGAAUUAGGUCAAAUUUAAUAAAAGAUAAAAUAAUAUGAUUAUUUUAUUAGUUUUAAAAGUUUGAUCUAAAGAGUUUUAUUUUUUGAAACCUCCAUAAGUUAUGGAUAUGAAAAGGUUUUAAAAAAAAAAUUGAUUCAAAGUUUUUUUGGAGUUACAAAAUUUGGUGUUAAUGUUUUAAAGGAUUCCAUAACUUAAGAAUAAGUUAUGGAUCACCAAAAGUUUUUUGUGUUACCUUGUUUUAUGAGUGAAUUUAGAUUAAUGAAUAAAAUUAUGUGAUAGUUGGUUUUAAUCCAAAUUAAUCUAAGAAUUGAUUCUAAAAUGUGUUUUUGUAACUUGUCCUCAAGUUAUAUGAAAAGUCACAUUUAAGAAUCAUAAAACUCAUAAAAAUUGGCAAAGGUUACAAAAAUGAAGAGUCUAGUUCUAAUUAAAUGGUUUUAUGACUCCAUAACUUGUCCUCAAGUUAUGGAGGACCAAGAGUCUCUUCAUUUAAUAAAAUAAAAUAAAAAAAAAAAAAGUGUAACCUUAAUUAAUUCCAUAAGUUAUAAAAUAAAGAAAAGUUAAUUCUUUUAUUAGUUUAAAGUCUUCCAUAACUUGUCCUCAAGUUAUGGAACUUGAAGAGUUUUUGGAUUAAAACUACUUUAAACACAUAAGUUAUGGAAUUAAUUAGUUUUGAAUAGUUUCAAAACUUGCCCUCAAGUUUUGGAAUUUGUAAAGUUUUCACUUAUGAAUACUUUAAUUCCAAGUUAGCCCUUAGAAUUUUAAAAGUUAAAAUUCAACCCUUAUACUUUAUAAUAUUAUAAGUUAAUAAUAUAUAUAUGUAUAAGAGUAAAGUCAGUCUUACCGCUAGUACGCCUCAUUCACGAAGCCGGUCUAUAAGGUGGGUAUAAGGUUGUUGCCUAUAAAAUGGCAACUUAAUGGGUGUCCACUCUCACCCACCGCUUGCUUGACUGGUGGAGGGUCGUUAGCCGAACGGGUUUGACAGGACUAGAAUUCUCCCUUCAUUAAAAGUAUUAAUGAUAAUACUAAGUAACUAAACUCUUAAUAAUACCCAAUCUUAGUUACUUAGGAAAAAUGUGAAUAAGGUGCUAAUCCAUGAAAUUACACUUUACACUUUGUCUAAGUCGUUAGUGGAGCGUGUGUGGUUAACCGGCACACUAACUUGGACUUAACAAGGUAGGUAAAGGGUGACUUAAUAUUUAUCAUAGUAUCGAUGGAGCGUGUGUGGUUAACCGGCACAUCGAUUGAGGGGUAAUUUAUUAAGGGUACCAAGUGAUUUGCAUGGUUACUUCACACCUUGUUUUGUGAUCCUCGGCAUCCCAGUCACAAAACCUGAAGGGCACACUCGAGAUUGAAACAUGCCUUUGAACAGUUCAAUGAAUCUCAAAGAUCUAGGAGUUUCAAAACCAAUUAAAACCUAAUAAUACAUUUCGUUUAUCUUGGUGGAAAUUGGUGAAUCGUCAUUCACCUACCUUCAAAUAUUUUAUAGCUUGGAUUACGGCAUACCUCUUCUAAGUUAUAAAAUAGUUUGUUGGGUCCUAGCCUUAAUAUUUCAUAUUGGGUGUCAUAUUAAGGACUUUAAAUCAACUAUCUUGAAUAUCUCCCAAAAGAUGUCUGUAAUAGACACCUAUGAUCUUCCCAAAUCUAGUGAAACAAGGUUUCCUAAAUGAAGAUGAUGUCCUUUGGAAAUCAUACUUCUUUCACCUCCUCCAAUUAUUCUCCCUAACCCACAAGUUCUUGAAAAGUUUAAGGUCACUCAAGCCCUAUUGGCAAGGCAAGGUCUAGGUGUGAUCACAUCUUGGAGAUGUAGUCACAUAUUGACAAGCCGGGAGAGUUGGGUGUCAAAGUCUUGAGAAAGUUGGUGGUUCAAUCACUUUCUAAGUCACAUAGUGAGUUCCUUUGGGACACCUAUGAAACAGACUAUGACAAGACCCUUAAUGAUCUUAUCUAUUUGCUAAGAUCAACUUCCUAAAACUUUAUGGACAUUGACAAUGAUGACAUUGGAUAUCCAGUAAAGCAUUCUCUUCCCAAUGGAAAGGGAUCGGCCAUAGUCAACUCGGUUGACCAAAUGGUAAAGAGAAAAGCUAAGUCUGUGAUAGUCUCGUGUACCAUUAUCAAAGGGUCCAUAUGUUUAUAUUGCCAAGGGAAGGGGCAUUGGUUGCGAAGCUGCCAAAUUUACCUAAGGAUGUUAAAGUCAAUAAGUUUGACUCUACUUCAGGUAAAGACCACUAUCUAACUCUGUUAAGUUUCUAUUCUGAGAUUCCUGAUACAUGAUGUGACUGGGUCACAUGGUGAUGUUUUAAGAAUCAAAGAAAAGUGAAGAAACUUAAAGAAAGAAUAUGCUGAAUCUGAUGGCGUAGAUGGAUUUCUAUCGCAUAGUUUGAAGAUCGGAUUCUUGAGCAACUUCUUAGGAGUUAUGAGAUAUUGCUUAGGAAUAGAUAACAACAAGUUUUCAUAUGGAUUGUAAGGAUAAGUUUUUCCGCAAAGUUUUAAAAUAAAAGAAAAUUUUUGAUUUUAUUUAUUUUAAAAUAUCCUUACAAUGGCAUUUGAGGAAAAAUUGUUGCUUAUAUGAUUCCAUUAAGAGCAAGAGUGGAAAUAUGAAAUUGAUUCUUUCAUUUGUGGUAAUGUCUAGAUUUACCAAAUAAGGAAAGAUUCUCAUCACCCAAGUUUCAAUUGGACCGGAACUUGGAAUCAUGCAAGUUGUAUAGCAUGAUGAAUGAGAACUUUCAAGUUUUGGAAAAUUAAGACUAAUUACUCGGCCACAUGGAUGUGUGAGUCAAGUAAAGGACUAAGGGAUCGAGUACACAUUCUUGUGCACUGAUUAAGUCCACCACAAAAGAUUGAUAAGACUAUUCGUCAUAGUUUACUAAAGCUCAGUAAAUAUGAUUAUACUUACAAGCUUAAGUGUAACUCUGAGACAUUGGAAAAGGUUCCAAUGUAUGGCAGGGCGAAUAAGAAGAAUCAAAUAAGGCAGAAGGAUAAAAGUUUCUCAAAUCUGAAAAGAUGGGAGAGUACUUUAGUAUCAGUUUUGUGAUCAUCUUAAUGAUUAAGAAACCAUAUCAAAAUUAGUUCUCUAAGGAAAUCUUAGUGCAUUCUUAUGACUAAGAAGAGGAUCUUGAAUUGUUGAAAUGGUUAAAUCAAGAAGAUGAGUCAUACUUCGUUCCAAUACAAGUCUUAGAGUCAUACUCCAAGAUUGUAACUUGAGUGACAUGUCUUAAAGAAGGUUUAAAACACUUGUCAAAUGUAAGAGUAAAAGUUUUCUACUCUUGUACAUUUGAAAUUGGUAAGUUGUGAUGUUUUGGAUAAAACAAAGACCAACUAAGGCCAAUUGUGUGAAGUGUUUGUCUUGAUUAGAAUCCGCACUAUCUCUUGGAUGUUUGACAAGGGAGUCUUAUAUGUCAAGAGGACAGUGGGAGUCUUAAAGGUCUUGAAAGUCUCAAGAACUAAUCAAGAAUAAAACCUGAAGUUCUUCACUAGCACACGACUUGAGGUUUAUAACCUAUCGUGUUGACAUAUUCUGUGCCCAUUCCAGUUAAAGUUGGCUUUGCAUAUGAGUUCUUAGAGUUCUCAAUUUGUUGCACAACAACUUGGAAGCAAUGGUAGGCCCUUGAGCUGCCAGGUGGCAAGAAAUUAAGAUUGAGUUCAGUCCAUAUGAGUUUGGAUUUGUCAUUAUCCUUGUCUUGUGACUAUGGUUUUGACAAUUCACAUGGAUAAGAACACAUACACCAUUAAAUCUAAGUGUCAUAAGGUUUCUCUCCGAUUCAUGAAAAUGAUGGUGAGGAAACACUUUCACUAAGUAGAUUUUAGCUAGAUAGCAAUUGUGAUAUUUGCAUUCUCAAAGUCGUUAGUGGAGCGCGUGUGGUUAACCGGCACACUAAUUUGGACUUGUGAGAAGUGGCAAAAAGGUCUAAACAUUAUGAUUACGGCAUCCCUCUUCAUAAUUGUUUAGAUACACAAGUGUGCUAUCUAAGGGAAGGUGUAUGAUUUUGAUAAAGUUUUAUCAAAACAAUCUAGCAUCAGAAAUCUGAACUUUGGUAAGAAAGUCAAUGAAGUAUUGAUUUCUAGAAGUCCAGCUGAUUUCUGAGUACAUGUCAAAGCUAGUGGGAGCAUAAGUGUUAUGCUAAUAAUCAUCAUGUUAGUGGGAGCAUGAUAAUUAUGAUAAGUAUUGCAAGUUAGCAAUGUUAAUUAUAGAAAACAAAAGUUUCAAUUGGGAAAAAGUUGUUUUGCUAUAAUUAAGGGAGAGGAAAUUAUACUUCAUCUCAAAUCUAUAAGCUUAGAUCGUGAGGUUUUAAUCAUUUAGUCAAGGAUAUAUAUGAAUUUCAUGUUGGAAUGGCUCAACAUAAGGAAAUUCUGUAUAUGGGUCCAUUAUUUGCGUUCUAAAAUUCGAUUAUGAUUACGGCAUCCCUUUUCAUAAUCUGAAUUAUGAGAACUUGGCAAAUUGAAAUGGAAAUAUUAUAGCAAAAGACUGGUUUAGUCUUUAUGUAAGACAUCAUGAAUCGUGUCCCAUAUGCUUCGGAUAUAGGAUCGAUUACAUGUGCUAUAUUCAUCCGUUCUAAAAUUUUCCAAAUGCCUGGGGCAUUAAGAAGGGAAAAGGUUUAGAACUGGAUAUGACUAAAAGGAUUAAACAAUUGUCGAGGACAAUCUAAGGUUUACCAAAGAUUGGUUGCUCAAGGACAGUUGGAAGUAUAGUGAUAAUUCUGGAAGGACCAUAUUGACAUAAUCUGUAAGGAGGCAACUCUUGUUCAGAAGUGAUAGUCAAAAUGGAAUCUGGAAAUGUUUCAAAGUUAGAAUUUUCAAUCUGUUUAAGAUUAGGAAACUUAAUGCAAGAAGGAUGUUUCCAAGGAGCUGAUCUCCUUUGGAAUACUCUGUAAUGAUUGUUGUCAAGUCUUUCUGACUUUGUGCAUAAUCAUUACAAGAGGAUCAAUGCAUAUAAGUUUAGAAUCUAACAGAUUUCAGUAAAUGGCAUGAAUUUGGAAUUCUUGCAUUUGCAGUAAGGAUUUGGGAGUGUGAAAAGAGAAUCAUUGAAGUUAUGUUCAAUUGAUCUAGUUCACAAAGUAAAGAUCAUAGACAAACAUAGUAUGCAUACUUGGUGUGUGGCAUGACUAGUGUUUAAGAAAACAUAGUGUACAUGCUUGGAGCAUGGGACAACUAUUGUUUUAAAUUCAAGAAUAAAGUUGAUAGCUGAAACAGUAUACAAUGAAUAAUGUGUAAUCAUAUGGUGAUAAAUAAAAGGUGUUUUAUUUAUGUUCAAAGGGUUGAUACCAUAUUGGAUUCAAUUAUUAUUGUGUUUCACUUUGCAUGUUUUGACUUCCCGAAUAAACUGGGUUAUUCUUCCGGAAUGACUAAGUUAUUCAAACCAUCCACAGUCGGUCAUAUGUUGGAAGUAGAUAUGAAUUAAGACUGUCAUGAUGGGUUGUAGAGGUCUAAGGUGUUGGAAAAGGCUACAACACUCAUGAGUGCUCAUAAGUUCUGAGUAUUGGAUUCAACCCGCGCUCAUUGGAAUCACUUCAUGGAUUUUAUCACGAGUGAUCAUGAGACGAUAAUAUCUUAUAUUCUUCAAACCUAGAGAUAUGAGUUGUUACUAUGAGUUGAUAGUACAUUGAUUGCACGAAAACGCAUUUGGUAACUCGGUGCUAUAAAACGUGCCUUUGUGUAUGAUUCAACAAGUAGUAGAACAAGCCAUAUGAGUCGAAGUUUAUCCGUUCCUUUUACCUUCGGGAUAAAAGCGAUAUCUGUGGGCCCCUCGAUGAUUUGAUGAUGACAAAUGGAAGUGCUCGGCCGGGCCAGGACUGAUUUGAUUUGUUCAAUUAGUCAGUCGUCAUAAAUCGGAAAUCGGGAAACAACAAAUGGACAGAGAGAAUGAUUAUAAUCCAUGUCUCAGUCCAUAUGAUAUCUAGAAUGGAGGAAUAUAUGAUCCCUUAUCUAAUGGACAAGUCACUGACAAAGGUCAGAGUUCAUCUACAAGGUCAGAGUUCGACAGAAGCUUUUGAGAGCUACGAUUGCCGGUUGGUUCCUGAAGUCAUACGCAAUAAUAGUUUUAGACUUAUCCAAGUGGGAGACUGUUGGAUUAAUGUCUAAGUCCAUAACUAUAUUUGGUAAGACUUGACCCGACCCGGCAUGGUCCAUUUGGGUUGCAUACCAUCAUGCACUUGAAUGAGAGAAAUAAGACACUUAUGGUUAUUAAUAUAUUAUAAGUUCUAGUAUAUUAAUAAUAAGAAUAAUAAGAUUAUUUAAUUAGUAUUGAUCAAGAAUUAAUCUAGGAUUAAUUAAGUGAUCAAAAGAAGACUAAUUAAAUAUAUGGGUUGAUUGUGUAAAUCAUCCAUACUUGUAUAGUGGGCUAAUGCUCCAUGGAUAAUCAAGUUGGGCUAAAACCCAUAGGAUGGUUCAUGGAUGCUCCAUGGUGUAUUUGAACCCAUGGAUCCAAGGAAAUGGAAAGUCAUGACAAUUAGGGUUUGCCCUAAUUGUAACACUAUAUAAAGAUAUUAUUCUUGACAAAAUCGGCACUAGUGGGUGUACUAGAAGGGCUAGCCGAUUUCAUGAAGUGUGGGUUUUCUCUCAAGUCAUUCCAUGUGUUUUGAUGAUUGUGAUUCCAUUUGAGGUGUCACACUUGGGGCACUUGGCACUCAAGCUUCAUGAAGACUUUCUACAUCAAAGAGGUAUGUAUUCUAUCUUGCUAUAGUUAUUGUUUUGUAUGCUAGAUUAGGAUAAUACCUUGGAAGUUCUUAUUUGUAUGUAUAAUAGAGAAAACAUAGAUCCAAGGUAUUUAGGGUUGCAUGUACACUUAGGAGUGUUAGAAUGCUCAAAACCCAACAAC